CCUACGGGGGGCAGCAGUCGGGAAUAUUGCGCAAUGGAGGAAACUCUGACGCAGUGACGCCGCGUGCAGGAAGAAGGUUUUCGGAUUGUAAACUGCUUUAGACAGGGAAGAAAAACGACAGUACCUGUAGACUCCGCUCCGUCUCAAUACGUGCCAGCAGCCGCGGUACUACGUAGGGAGCAAGCGUUAUCCGGAUUUAUUGGGUGUAAAGGGUGCGUAGACGGAGAAGCAAGUUCGGUGUGAAAUCCCUCGGCUUAAAUGAGGAACUGCAACUAAAACUACUUCCCUUGAGUACUGGAGAGGAAAGUGGAAUUCGUAGUGUAGCGGUGAAAUGCGUAGAUAUUAGGAGGAACACCAGUGGCGAAGGCGACUUGCUGGACAGUAACUGACGUUGAGGCACGAAAGUGUGGGGAGCAAACAGGAUUAGAUACCCGGGUAGUC
rnacentral:rRNA from 1 species